GGGCCCCGGAGAGGCUGGGCAGCCAUGCUGGGCAGAGCCUGGCUACAGCCCAGCAUCCCACCUGCCAGCCCCUUCGUGGUGAGCCCCCAAAGCACAACUAGCUUCCUACCUCACAUUCAGCAUGGCCUUCGUGUGUCCAUGGAGAGGUGGGAGCAGCUCCUACUGCUUCCUAGCAUCCCUGGAUAGACAUGACCCUGUGAUCUUUUAAAAGCUUAUCACUGAGAAGGACUCAAAAUCGGAGUGUGAAUGCAGAGUACAUGCAAGUAAUCACUGCUACCAGCCCAGAAAUUUAACUACUGAUGAAAAAGACUAUGUUUACAGAUUAACCCGAAACAACAGCUGGCACAGCUGUGCCAACAAGCUGUCCUAGGAAAAAGUCCUCUCCAGAAGAGAUUGAGAUCUCAAAGUUCCUAUUUCCAAAGAAUUUUGAAAUUCCCACAGAGCAGAAAACACCAACAUUUGUGGUACAGAGAGCAGGGUCUCAGAGCACAGCGCUUCCCACCAUGGACAUGUUGACUUUGACAACCAUGAAUUCUCCAGGCUCCAAAGGUCCACCCAGUUUAGACACAAGUCACUUCCUUCAUGUGAGAUGCGAACUGGUACAUCAGGAUAUCAGCUGCUUCACUGUCCAUCACCAACUGUGAUACCAUACUGUGAAAAUACUUCCACAUUGUGCAAUGUGUACGCUCUUACGGGCCAUGUAAGCAAUUCACGGUGGUGCAGGGGCUGCUGAGAUAGAGUGAAGCACAUAUUCCUAAAGAUAACAGGACACAACCACACACUGCUGCACCAGGAGAGAUAACCAUGCAAUGGCUACGGUUGCUCACGCUGUCCAAAGGAGACUCGUCUUCGGGAAGCAGGGCAAAGAGAACUUAGCAGCCAUCUUAAAGCAGCAACUUGCACAAAACACCUUCUUACUUUAAAGACGGAGCUAACUCUGCUUGUGAGCAGCAGCCCCUGAGCAGUGGGCCAGGACAGCAGUGGGGUGUGCUGCAGGUGGUGGUGGGGCCCAUCUACUGUGGGACCCUGAGAAACCACAAAUCCCAGAGACUUACUGCUCUGUCACGACUCACUUGUCAGUCAGAUUUUUUUGGUGAGAAAUAAUACAGAAGUGUUUCAACUGGAUUAUUUGAUUUGGGGUUCCUGCAACUUGAAGGUGGCUUGCUUUAUUUCCCCCAUUCCACAGAUAAUUUUCCUCAAUAUCAAUUCAGCUGAAAAAUAAACAGGGUUCAACAUGAGUUAUUUCUUAUGGGAAAAUGGUCUGUUGGGAACACAUUAUGCAUUCCAUUUACUAAUCAGAAUCUUCUGAUAAUUUUUACUGUGCAUUGCAAAUGCAGGCAGCCCAUGUUACAUCUGCAGGGCUCAGAUAUACUGGAACUGCUCCAAACUGAUUCUCAUAAAUUUAUUUUUAAAAUUUCCCAUACAUUUACUGUUCCUUCAUCCUGGUCACUAAUGCAUAUUUAACCGAUGGACUAACUACAUGCAUAUCAAUAGUUUAGUAGAGUUACAUUUACCAUAGUGUUAAGAAAUAAUAGACUUUCUUUCAAAGCACAUAGAAACCAUUGCCUAAAGGAAUAAAUGUUUCAACCUGAGAAAAUCUAAAGACUAAAAAUAUCAAGGGAGAAAGAUAAAUGGCCUCAUCUUACAGUAAAAAAAAGGAACAGGAAAACUCAGGUUUUAGUGAUAUACUUCAUGAAACAGUUUCAUAUGGCUGUUCAUAAAUAGAGACCCAAGUUGUUGUCAGAAAAAUUUCAAGGAUGAGUCAAACUGGCAAAGAGCUGCAGCUCAGAUUUCUGGUUUCACCAGUCAACAUCAGAAUGAUGAGGUCCAGGAGAAAGGAUCUUUGGCCUCUGAGUAGCUGAUGUAAAAACACGGGUCUCGGGAAGAAAUAGCAGUGGUGAAGCACAGAGGAAACACAGAGGCAAGAAACAUUUCUCUGCAGAAGUGUACCUUCCUGCAACAGGGUGGAAGGGACAUGUGAGGACACAGCUCAGCCAACAAGCUCCUGAAUGUGCCAUUUCCCAACCCCCCAAACACACCUACUAAAUCACUGUAGAAAUGCUGGUUAUUUGCAGCAGCAAAACUGUUUGAGGUGGCAUGCAGGGCAGGACUGAGGAAAGUGACAAUUUGUUUUCAGCAGAAGCUCUGAGGGAGCCUGGGAUUAGCAUCUUGUUCAAAGAGGCCAGUAAUUCCUUUCCAAAAUGUUUAAAGGAUGCAGCUCCCGCCUCCGCUAUCGCACAUCAGUGCCUGCCCCAGAGGGGGUGGUUUCUGAAGGGAACUGGCUGAGGAUAAUUUCCUGGACUCCUGGACCUUUCGUAUCGCUCCCAUCUCUGCUGUGUUUCACUGCUGAGAGUACAAAGACCUCCAGUAUUCUUAUCUUGGCAUUCCCCACUUAUAGAAAUGAGAGAAGCAUUACAAAUGAGUCUGUGGGGAUGCAUUAUGAGAGCAGCAAUAAAAACUAAAAAGCCAGCACUGGGGGCCAUGGCCAGUCAGAUCGUUUGGGACCACUGAGCAGCGAAACAGUUCCACAUCCCUGCUCUGAAAAGCUUGUUCAUUUAAACACAGUGAUAAGCUCUGCUCCUGCAGACUGCUCCUCAGGAAGACCUCAUGGUCUGACUGUCACGGCUAAUGUUAUUUUCAGACCAUAUUUCUGCUCCCCCUUCUGUUCUCCUGCAGACCAUGUGCUGAAGCAGCAGUCUCUUCCCUCGCUGUCCCCCCACACCAGACAGGACAGGAGCAGGAUACACUAACAUCAAGGUUGCUCUAAAAAUUCAUGUUUUCUCUCCUGCUUCCUUGUUUAAUGGUUUUAAAGACAGCAAGUCUAUCACUUAUUUUUGGAGUCUACAGCUUACUCGUUGGGAAAGACACAUGUGCAAUAGUUAGCAUCAGUCAGGAAAAGCUUCUGUAUGUUUUGUGUUUAUUCAGUUUGUUGUUUUUUUCCAAAGAGGUUCAUCUUCUUCACAACCCGGCUAACAACCCCAUACUAUUAUCUGCAUGACCUGCUAUCAUCUGGCACAGUGAAAAAAAGGGUUGAGUGUCAAUAGCUGCCAGGUGUUCAUAUUGAACUGCUUCUCAAACUUAAAAUAAUAUUAAAAAACUAAAACCACCACCCAUCACAACACUUUAAGCCAAUGGAUUAGAUUUCCUCUGUAUUAAUAUGAAGCUAUAAAUGAUUUGUAAAAAUGCUGAAUUAAAAAUAUAAUUAAUUGCCUAA